rnacentral:rRNA from 1 species
UCGGGAAUUUUGGGCAAUGGGCGAAAGCCUGACCCAGCAACGCCGCGUGAAGGAUGAAGUAUUUCGGUAUGUAAACCUCGAAAGAAUAGGAAGAAUAAAUGACGGUACUAUUUAUAAGCUCCGGCUAACUACGUGCCAGCAGCCGCGGUAAUACGUAGGGAGCAAGCGUUGUUCGGAUUUACUGGGCGUAAAGGGCGCGUAGGCGGCGCGGUAAGUCACUUGUGAAAUCUCUGAGCUUAACUCAGAACGGCCAAGUGAUACUGCAGUGCUAGAGUGCAGAAAGGGCAAUCGGAAUUCUUGGUGUAGCGGUGAAAUGCGUAGAUAUCAAGAGGAACACCUGAGGCGAAGGCGGGUUGCUAGGCUGACACUGACGCUGAGGCGCGAAAGCCAGGGGAGCAAACG